rnacentral:rRNA from 1 species
GACGAACGCUGGCGGUGUGCUUAACACAUGCAAGUCGAACGGUAAGGCCCUUUCGGGGGUACACGAGUGGCGAACGGGUGAGUAACACGUGAGUAACCUGCCCUCAUCUCUGGGAUAACAGUCGGAAACGGUUGCUAAUACUGGAUAUGAGCUUGCAAGGCAUCUUGUGGGUUGGAAAGAUUUUUUUUGGUUGGGGAUGGACUCGCGGCCUAUCAGCUUGUUGGUGAGGUAGUGGCUCACCAAGGCUUCGACGGGUAGCCGGCCUGAGAGGGCGACCGGCCACAUUGGGACUGGGAUACGGCCCAAACUCCUACGGGAGGCAGCAGUGGGGAAUAUUGCACAAUGGACGGAAGUCUGAUGCAGCAACGCCGCGUGCGGGAUGACGGCCUUCGGGCUGUAAACCGCUUUCAAUUGUGACGAAGCUUUUUUGUGACGGUAGCAGUAGAAGAAGCACCGGCUAACUACGUG